rnacentral:tRNA from 1 species
GCCCACAUAGCUCAGUUGGUAGAGCACGUCCUUGGUAAGGACGAGGUCACCGGUUCAAAUCCGGUUGUGGGCU